CGUAUCGUUCCCUCGGCGGGCUCAGCGCGCGGUGCCUCCGGGCUCCGGGCGUCCGGGGGGACAACCAAACUCUGAUUUUAUUGUGAAUCUCUGAGGGGCGAAAGCCCGAAAACAAAAUGAAUCAAAACUUUCAACAACGGAUCUCUUGGCUCUGGCAUCGAUGAAGAACGCAGCGAAAUGCGAUAAGUAAUGUGAAUUGCAGAAUUCAGUGAAUCAUCGAAUCUUUGAACGCACAUUGCGCCCGCCGGCACUCCGGCGGGCAUGCCUGUCCGAGCGUCAUUUCAACCCUCAGGACCCCCUUUCGGGGGGGACCUGGUGCUGGGGAUCAGCGGCCUCCGGGCCCCUGUUUUCAAAUGAGUGGCGGUCGCGCCGCAGCCUCCCCUGCGUAGUAGCACACCUCGCACCGGAGAGCGGCUCGGCCCGCCCGUGAAACCCCCAAUUUUUUAAGGUUGACCUCGGAUCAGUAGGAAUACCCGCCUAAAUUAACAUAUCAAUAAGCGGAGGAAAGGGCGAUUUCGCGGCC
rnacentral:rRNA from 1 species